AGUGAACGCUGGCGGUAUGCCUAACACAUGCAAGUCGAACGGCAACACAGUAAGUGCUUUCUCUUACGGGUGGCGAGUGGCGGACGGGUGAGGAAUACAUCGGAAUCUACUUUUUCGUGGGGGAUAACGUAGGGAAACUUACGCUAAUACCUCAUACGAACUACGGGUGAAAGCAGGGGAUCUUCGGACCUUGCGCGAUUGAAUGAGCCGAUGUCGGAUUAGCUAGUCGGCGGGGUAAAGGCCCACCAAGGCGACGAUCCGUAGCUGGUCUGAGAGGAUGAUCAGCCACACUGGAACUGAGACAGGGUCCAGACUCCUACGGGAGGCAGCAGUGGGGAAUAUUGGAAAAUGGGCGCAAGCCUGAUCCAGCCAUACCGAGUGGGUGAAGAAGGCCUUCGGGUUGUAAAGCCCUUUUGUUGGGAAAGAAAAGCAGCAGGUUAAUACCCCGCUGUUCUGACGGUACCCAAAGAAUAAGCACCGGCUAACUUCGUG
rnacentral:rRNA from 1 species